rnacentral:lncRNA from 1 species
AAGAAAUAUUAGAAUGAUUACAAACAUAUCUUAAACACAUUUCAAUUCAAUCUUAAUUUAAUCCUAGUUGAAAUCUUACUUCAUUCCAACUUCAGCCCAAAAACUAAGUAAUUCUUAAAUCCUAAAUAAUCUCAAAUAAUACUCUAAAUCCUAAAUCAAAUCUUCAUCAAAUCCUAACUAAAUCUUAAAUUCUAAACCAAAUAUUAAACCCUAAAUCAAACCUGAACCAAUCUCUAAACCAUAAAUCAAAUCCUAAUCCUAAAUCAAACCCUAACCAAAUUCUAAACCCUAAACCAAAUCCUAAUCCUAAAUCAAACCCUAACCAAAUCCUAAACCCUAAAUCAAACUCUAAUCCUAAACCAAAUCCUAAUCCUAAAUCAAAUCCUAACCACUC